CAACCUCUUUCUCUCUCUCUAACACCCUCAGUCAGUCGCACGCUCUCUAAACGGCGGGAAAACGGAAGUUUUUUGGGCGAAAAUCUGAAAUCUCCAUCCCUCCAAAAACACCCACAAAUCCCCAAAUUUCUUCUUCCACUCCCAUUUUCAAAACCCUAGAACAAGAGCGACAUUGAGAUUCCCCUCCUACUUUUCUCUGUCCUUCACUCCAAUGGCGUUUCCUGCCUCACAAACCUUGAUUCAGGAUAACUGCCAUGAACAGCAACAAGAACAACAUCAGUUGCAACAGUUGCCGGAUUCGCAUAAAUUGGGGAGUGCGGAAGAUAUCGACAAUCAUCACGCCGGAACUCCAAUUAAGUUUCUUCCUCUUCGCCAUGUUUACUCCGCUACUUCUCCUUGCGUUGGUGCUAGCGGCUCUUCCAAUGUCGUCUCCAAGAAGGUUCGAGCUCGUAAGCUAACCCUAAUUGACGGCUGCUUGGAUGAUCAUAUCUGUCAUCAGUUAGAGGAGGGGGAGGAGACGAGGGAAGGUAAUGAACAGGUAAAGGGAGAGCCUUUAUUAGAUUCGUCGCAGGUGAUCCGGGUUUACUCUCGCCGAGUGAAGAAGAAGACGAGUAUGGGGAGUUCGUUGCGGUUCGAUCAUCAGGUAGAGAAAUUGGACGGCGAGGGGGAGGGGAUUGUGGUGAAAGCGGAGCCACUUGAGGAAGAGGGUUUUGUUGGGGAUGUGUUGGUGGGGUUCCCUAAUAAGAAAAGACGAGUUGGAAAUUCAGAGCUUGUCAAAUUGGGGGUGGAUUCCAGUGUUUUGUGUAGGUUGAAUGGCCCCAGAUUAAGGGAAUCACGAUUCCAGUACAAUGUAAAUACUAGUACAUCUGUUGUAAAGAAAAGGAAGCAAAAUUCUUCCGCUAAUCACAAGAACCACAGCGAUUGGCGGGCGAAAAAAUGGUUCCUGUUAACUUUUGAUGGUGUUGAUCCUAUGGUAUUUAUUGGUAUAAAAUGCCAGGUUUACUGGCCAUUGGACGAUGUUUGGUAUAAAGGUUCUAUUUCUGGCUAUGAUGCGGAAUUGAACAAGCACAGUAUUAAGUACGAAGAUGGUGAUGAGGAAGAACUGAUUUUAUCACAAGAACAGAUCAAAUUUCAUAUGUCAAGAGAGGAAAUGCAGAACUUAAACCUCAAAGGGAAAGAAUUUACAGAUGAUGAUGAUCCUGAUUACAGUCAGUUGAUGGGGCUGGCUGCUAGUGUGGAUGAAAGUCGAGACCUUGAGCCAGGGGAUAUAAUUUGGGCAAAACUUACAGGUCAUGCAAUGUGGCCGGCUGUCAUUUCUGACGAAUCGCUUAUUGGUGACCGCAAAGGACUGAAUAACUGCUCAGGAAAAAGGUCAAUCCCUGUGCAAUUUUUUGGAACUCAUGAUUUUGCAAGAAUACAGGUGAAACAGAUAGUGUCUUUUGUGAAAGGACUCGUCUCCUGUUUUCAUUUGAAGUGCAAGUCUACACGUUUUCUCCGAAGCUUGAGAGAAGCAAAAAUGUACUUGAACGAGCGGAAACUUCCUAAAGGCAUGGUCAACAUGCAACAACGUGUAUCAAUGGAUGUUCAAGCUGUUGAAUCAGAUGAGGCUUCAAUGAGGGAUGAUGAUGUUUUAUAUUCUAAAGGGCCAUUUAAACUCUCUUCGAGCAAAUUGUUGUCUGAAAGAUACCCGAACUUGCCGAGUGGCUAUUGGCCUAUUAAUAUUAAUUGGAAAGAUCUUGAUCGAUGCAAUGUAUGCCACAUGGAUGAGGAGUACGAGAACAAUUUGUUCCUGCAGUGUGAUAAGUGCAGAAUGAUGGUUCAUGCCAGGUGCUAUGGAGAAGAGUCUGUUGAUGGUAGACUUUGGUUGUGUAAUCUGUGUCGAGCUGGAGCUCCUAAAUCCAUUCCACCCUGUCGUCUAUGUCCUGUUGUAGGUGGAGCUAUGAAGCCCACAACUGAUGGUCACUGGGCUCAUCUAGCUUGUGCUAUCUGGAUUCCUGAAACGUGCUUAUCUGAUAUCAAAAAGAUGGAGCCCAUUGACGGUCUGACCAGGAUUAAUAAGGAUCGCUGGAAGCUCGUAUGUAGUAUUUGUCAUAUCCCUUAUGGAGCUUGCAUCCAGUGCUCUAACAACACAUGUUAUGUUGCAUAUCAUCCACUCUGUGCACGUGUUUCUGGCUACUGUGUUGAGCUUGAAGAUGAAGACAGACUUCAUCUCAUUUCUGUAGAUGAAGACGAGGAAGAACAGUGUAUUCGCCUGCUUUCCUUCUGCAAGAAACAUAAGCAGCCAUCUAAUGAUCGUCCAAUCAUGGAUGAGGCAAAUGGGAAAAAGUCUUGCCAGCAUUCUAGCUACAUCCCCCCAUCGAAUGAAUCUGGCUGUGCGCGCUGUGAGCCUUAUGAUUAUUCUGCCCGAAGGGGACGUAAAGAACCGGAAAUCCUUGCUGCAAAACGUUCCUUUUUGCUAAAUAUGCCACAUUUGGUUGGUUGUUACUACGUACAUGAGUCCAUGGCUCGCAUAGCAGCAGAGGACAAUGCGGAUAGUGGCUCUAAGUCAACUUCAGGCAUUCAAAAUGGAUCUUCAAAUCAGGAAGCUCUGCCUAGCAUACUUUCGAUGGCUGAUAAAUAUAGAUACAUGAGGGAGACAACUAGGAAACGAUUAGCAUUUGGAAAAUCUAGAAUACAUGGAUUUGGAAUCUUUGCAAAGCAGCCACAUAAAGCUGGAGACAUGGUUAUCGAAUAUACCGGUGAACUUGUUAGACCGCCAGUGGCUGAUCGAAGAGAACACUUAAUAUACAAUUCAUUGGUUGGUGCUGGAACUUAUAUGUUCAGGAUUGAUGAUGAGCGUGUCAUUGAUGCUACGCGAGCAGGAAGCAUUGCUCAUUUGAUCAACCAUUCAUGUGAACCCAAUUGUUAUUCUAGAGUUAUAUCCGUUAGUGGUGAUGAACACAUAAUAAUUUUUGCGAAAAGAGAUAUCAAUUUGUGGGAAGAACUGACUUAUGACUACAGGUUCCUUUCCAUUGAUGAACAACUUAAAUGUUAUUGUGGCUCUGAAAGAUGUCGAGGAGUAGUUAAUGAUGUCGAAGCUGAGCAGCAAGCUUCUAAGCUAUAUGUUCCUCGCAGUGAUCUGAUAGAUUGGAGGGGAGAGUAGCAACUAAGAUCCCUCCCGUCAAUUGCAGCCCUUCUGAGAUUCUUACUGUUGGCGACAGCAUAUUUCUUUUCUACAAUCUGCUCUCACCUCAGAUUACCUUCCUUGCCUUUUUUUGGCCGGAGAGCUAUGGUUUAUUUUCAGCUUCUCACUGUUAAAACACAAAAAGUGUUUCAGCUUCUCAUGCCUUUCUAAAUAUUCUUGUCCCCUCAGAUCAUGAGAAUCAAUGCACCUUGUGUGUUAGAUUUUUGUAGUUGAGACUUGAGAGCUUCUCCAAUUUAUUUGAUGGACACCGGGAUGAACUGUUGCAGAUUUUUCAGUUGCUAUUUUUACAGCAUUUUGAGAGUUGUGACUUCAGUGUUCGGGUUUCCUCCCCGGCUUCCUUUGCUCGGGUGCCCAGCUUCUCCAUCAGAAAAUUCGCUACUUCUUUAGACGCGUCAACCAUUCUUCUGCAGCAGAUGUAUUCUUAUUAUGCUCCUUAUCAGGUUUAUGCUUACUCUUUGAUGACAUGUUUCCAAGAGGUUCUACCAAUAUCAGCGGUCUUAUGCGUCUGGAAGCCUUCCUGCAUUUAAAUUUUUAGUGUGAACAUGCUUUAUUGUAAAUGUAUUUUUUUGACAUAUUAUUGUAAAUGUAUUAAUAUUCAAUAUGCGUAUUAAUUUUGAAAGGAAAUAUGGAAGAUAGUUAAUGUACAUAAAAACUCCAAUUGUUUUGUGGAACUAAUUUGUUGAAACUUGAAAGCCUAGGAACUUAGAUAUCAUUGUCUUAAAUUGAACAAAUAUGUGUUUGUACUUUGUAAAAUAUACUCCGUAGGAAAUUUAGUUUGAAACUAUUUGGAAAGCAACUGAAAUAUAUCUAGAUAGUGUUUACGCAUGCGAUGUGUGCGUGGCAUUUUAUACUUCA